CCCAGUUUUCCCUUUCUGCUCCCCCUGCAUGUUGUUUUCUUCAAGGUCUUGCCAGCCUUCAGACCUAUGUGCCCCUCAUUUUGCCUUCCUCAUCUUCUUUUCCUUUUCCUACUCAUCUGUCUCCUGCAAACCCUGCAGACUUUGUUGACCCCCAUCCACUCCACUUUUUAAUCUGUUGUCUUCUUACACAGUGCUUGGAUGAUGUGUUGCUCUUCAGUUUUGGCUGCUUCUCAGUCUGAAGUAUUCCAGAAUCCUGGAAGUGUGGCUCUGGGCAAAAGGGCGUGAUCCAGCAUGCCAAUCACUUUGAGGAGACCUUUCUGGGACUGGAGGGGCCAUGGAUAUUGGUAUGGCUGCUGCUCAUGGAUGAGCAAGAUAUAUAAAACAGGAUUCUUUGACAGAAAAGUCAAGCCAAGCUGGCUUGGCAAAACAAAUGAAUUUCCUUCAGAUGAGAGGAGUUGCACUGAAGUCCUAGUUCAUAAGAUACACUGUGCCCUGAUUGCAGAGCUGCAUUUAUUGACACAGAUGCAAAACUUUCCGGCUGGAGGAGUUGCUACUUGUAAAGGCAUGGGUUAGGUGUUUGGCCUUCCUCAAGUCCCUCAAUAGACAGUGGAGAGAUAAGGGCUCCUGCUUGGCGUCUCCAAAAGUGGUAAAGCUUCCUUUCUGGUUCUUGAAAUCUCUGAGAGCAACACAGUGGGCCUUACUGAAAAUAUUAACACAGAAUGUGCUGAAAUAAGUGGGAUAUGGCGCGUAUACCAAAACAGGUCCUAUUUUUCGAUUUCCUCUCUUCAGAAAAAAACCCCACAUAAUGCAGUUCUAGCCAAGCUACUAAGAAAAAAAUGAUAUAUCUAUUCUUACAGUGCGUUUAAGUUACAGCAACAACAUGGGAAAACUGUCAAUAAAAGCAAUAGACUGAGUGAGUAUGAGUUACCAUGUAUGAUCAUAUAGGAGUGAAAAUGGGACCAGUUCAGGAAAGAUGUGGUAUAACACCAUCUCCAUUUUUCUCUUGAACAAUUGCCGUCUUCUGCUGCCCUCAGUGAUUCCCAGGUUACUCAUGGCUCUUCUGCUUUGCACAGACUAUGAAAUUUUCUCUCAGCGGCUUGUGUUAGUUUAGCAAUCUUUCCUGAAAAGCACUGCAGUCAGAGCUUCUCCCUUGCUAGUUUCCAAGCGAGAGCAUGGCUUUCUGAAAGUCUGGCUGUUUAUGAAACAGUUAAACUGUGGGGCUGGUUUUUAUUUUCACGCUCUUGCAAACUCCAUCUCUUUCUGUCUCCCUGUGGCCACAUUUAGCUUCUCCCAGCUUUUUCUUAUUUGCUGGUGCAGUAGAACAGGACCUGCUGCUCCGUAACAAGCCACUCCUGCAUCUGCUCCAGCGUACUCUCUGAGACAGUGGGAAGUGCUGGAUCCGGCAGGGAAAGGCCUGACAAAUACUGGAGCACAACAGUUAAAAAGAAUGUCCUCUGAGGGGAAAACGUUUACUGUUGCCCACCCUCAAAGACUAUGUUGGGCAGCCUAUGAUGGAAGAUAAUGUUCGUUGAAUCACGACUUUUAGUACGUAAUGUAUGCUCUUUUUGCCAUGCACUUUUCCAUUCCCUUUUAAUUCAUGAAACUCUUAGACUUGCUUGCCUCCGAUGGGAAGGAACUGCACCAGGCAGCCAUAUGCUGUGGGAAACGAUUGCUCUCACCCUUUGCCUUUCAUUUUCAUGCUUGUGCAUGAUGCGAAGUGAUGAACAGGACUCGCUUUCUUUGGUGCCGUUCAUUAUUUUGAACACCUGUAUCUUUUCCUUUUGUCUGAGGUGAACAGGUUUGAUUUUACUAUUCCUCUAGAAGCUUUUCAUGCCUCUAAUUAUUUUCGUUGUCAUUUCUGAACUAAUUUCAUUUCUGUUUUGUCCUUCUCAAAGUGUCCA